AGGACGAACGCUGGCGGCGUGCUUAACACAUGCAAGUCGAGCGGAAAGGCCCUUCGGGGUACUCGAGCGGCGAACGGGUGAGUAACACGUGAGCAACCUGCCCCUGGCUCUGGGAUAGCCUCCGGAAACGGGGAUUAAUACCGGACAUGACCUGGGACUGCAUGGUUCUGGGUGGAAAGUUUUUCGGCCAGGGUGGGGCUCGCGGCCUAUCAGCUUGUUGGGGGGGUGACGGCCCACCAAGGCGACGACGGGUAGCCGGCCUGAGAGGGCGACCGGCCACACUGGGACUGAGACACGGCCCAGACUCCUACGGGAGGCAGCAGUGGGGAAUAUUGCGCAAUGGGCGGAAGCCUGACGCAGCGACGCCGCGUGCGGGAUGAAGGCCUUCGGGUUGUAAACCGCUUUCACCGCAGACGAAGCGAGAGUGACGGUAUGGCGGGGAAGAAGCGCCGGCUAACUACGCGCCAGCAGCCGC
rnacentral:rRNA from 1 species